rnacentral:rRNA from 1 species
CCUACGGGUGGCAGCAGUGGGGAAUAUUGCACAAUGGGGGAAACCCUGAUGCAGCGACGCCGCGUGAGUGAAGAAGUAAUUCGUUACGUAAAGCUCUAUCAGCAGGGAAGAAAAUGACGGUACCUGAGUAAGAAGCCCCGGCUAACUACGUGACAGCAGCCGCGGUAAUACGUAGGGGGAAAGCGUUAUCCGGAUGUACUGGGUGUAAAGGGAGCGUAGACGGUGCGCCAAGUCUGGAGUGAAAUGCCGCAGCUUAACUGCGGAACUGCUUUGGAAACUGGCGAAAUAGAGUGCGGGAGGGGUAAGCGGAAUUCCUAGUGUAGCGGUGAAAUGCGUAGAUAUUAGGAGGAACUCCGAUUGCGAAGGCAGCAUACCGGCGCUCAACUGACGCUGAGGCACGAAAGCGUGGGGAUCGAACAGGAUUAGAUACCCUUGUAGUC